UGGGGAAUCUUGGACAAUGGGGGAAACCCUGAUCCAGCCAUGCCGCGUGAUCGAUGAAGGCCUUAGGGUUGUAAAGAUCUUUCAGCUGGGAAGAUAAUGACUGUACCAGCAGAAGAAGCCCCGGCUAACUCCGUGCCAGCAGCCGCGGUAAUACGGAGGGGGCUAGCGUUGUUCGGAAUUACUGGGCGUAAAGCGCACGUAGGCGGAUCAGUCAGUCAGGGGUGAAAUCCCGGGUCUCAACCCCGGAACUGCCUUUGAUACUGCUGGUCUUGAGGUCGAGAGAGGUGAGUGGAAUUCCGAGUGUAGAGGUGAAAUUCGUAGAUAUUCGGAGGAACACCAGUGGCGAAGGCGGCUCACUGGCUCGAUACUGACGCUGAGGUGCGAAAGCGUGGGGAGCAAACAGG
rnacentral:rRNA from 1 species